rnacentral:rRNA from 1 species
AGCGGAGGAAAAGAAACCAACAGGGAUUGCCUUAGUAGCGGCGAGUGAAGCGGCAAAAGCUCAAAUUUGAAAUCUGGCUCUUUCAGAGUCCGAGUUGUAAUUUGAAGAAGGUAUCUUUGGGUCUGGCUCUUGUCUAUGUUUCUUGGAACAGAACGUCACAGAGGGUGAGAAUCCCGUGCGAUGAGAUGAUCCAGGCCUAUGUAAAGUUCCUUCGAAGAGUCGAGUUGUUUGGGAAUGCAGCUCUAAGUGGGUGGUAAAUUCCAUCUAAAGCUAAAUAUUGGCGAGAGACCGAUAGCGAACAAGUACAGUGAUGGAAAGAUGAAAAGAACUUUGAAAAGAGAGUGAAAAAGUACGUGAAAUUGUUGAAAGGGAAGGGCUUGAGAUCAGACUUGGUAUUUUGUAUGUUACUUCUUCGGGGGUGGCCUCUACAGUUUAUCGGGCCAGCAUCAGUUUGGGCGGUAGGAGAAUUGCGUUGGAAUGUGGCACGGCUUCGGUUGUGUGUUAUAGCCUUCGUCGAUACUGCCAGCCUAGACUGAGGACUGCGGUUUAUACCUAGGAUGUUGGCAUAAUGAUCUUAAGUCGCCCGUCUUGA